rnacentral:tRNA from 1 species
GCUUAGAUGGUAAAGAAUCUGCCUGCAAUGCAGGAGACCCAGGUUUGAUCCCUGG